rnacentral:rRNA from 1 species
GUUCGGUCCCUAUCUGCCGUGGGUCGCUGGAGAACUGAGGGGGGCUGCUCCUAGUACGAGAGGACCGGAGUGGACGCAUCACUGGUGUUCGGGUUGUCAUGCCAAUGGCACUGCCCGGUAGCUAAAUGCGGAAGAGAUAAGUGCUGAAAGCAUCUAAGCACGAAACUUGCCCCGAGAUGAGUUCUCCCUGACUCCUUGAGAGUCCUGAAGGAACGUUGAAGACGACGACGUUGAUAGGCCGGGUGUGUAAGCGCAGCGAUGCGUUGAGCUAACCGGUACUAAUGAACCGUGAGGCUUAACCUUACAACGCCGAAGGUGUUU